rnacentral:tRNA from 1 species
AGUGAGAUGGCCGAAGUUAGGCCCUAGACUGUAAAUUUAGGUAUGGGUUAGCCCUCUUAUUA